rnacentral:misc_RNA from 1 species
UUGGAUAAGCAAUAAUAGCAAUUAGAUGUCGUCAGGCUGGGCACAUAACUUUUGCAUAUCUUUUCGCAAUGGCAUAUUUUUUACACAUUAUCGUAAAUGUGACACAGUAUCGUAGUACCAUCUUCUUUAAUCACGUGAAUGAAAACCAAAUUUGAAUUACUUGGGAUCAUGUUUCAAGGAGGUAUAACAGAACGAAGGAAUAAAUUUUACAGCAAAGAACAGUAUAAUUCUGAUGAAAGAAGGAAUAACUCAUCACUCAACGCUCAGAAUAUGAUUUUUCCAUAUAUUGGACCCCCUGGUUCAGGACCCGGUUUAUUAGGUAACCGACCUGGCGCCGGUAAAACAGAAUAUCUUAUUGCUUUAGAACAUUAUGCUGCUAGUUUAAAGCGUGCCUUAACUAUUAUAACUGAGUUGAAGAAUCAAAAGAAUAAAGACUUGGAUGUUGAACUGGAGUGUGAUUCCGUCUGCAGUAUUGAAAGUGAACUUAAAAACAAGAGUGACGACAGUGCUUCCAGCCUAUAACUGCAAGAUAAACUAUCCUUUAAUUGACUUAUUUGCAUUUAUGUUUUAAAAAUUAUAUGAUCAGUUAUAUCAUAAAGUGAUAUUUACAUUAUCAAGACCAUUUUCUGAAAGGAGAUUUUAAGAAAUUCACUUUGUGAAAAGCACUGAGCAGUGGCUGAAUGGGGGGGAAGAGAAUCUAUAUCAAUCAUGUUUAUUGUUGUUCCAAUUUAUUAACGUUUAUCAUAAACUAUAGUUUCAUACAACUGUAUUUUAAACCUUUUGCUGUUUAUAUUUCUCAAAUAGUUUAUACUGUAAAUUAUUUCUGAUAUGUUUAAGAUGUAACAUGUUAUGUAGAUAAAACAUAGUUUAUUA